AUGAACGCUGGCGGCGUGCCUCAUACAUGCAAGUCGAGCGAACAGACGAGGAGCUUGCUCCUCUGACGUUAGCGGCGGACGGGUGAGUAACACGUGGAUAACCUACCUAUAAGACUGGGAUAACUUCGGGAAACCGGAGCUAAUACCGGAUAAUAUAUUGAACCGCAUGGUUCAAUAGUGAAAGACGGUUUUGCUGUCACUUAUAGAUGGAUCCGCGCCGCAUUAGCUAGUUGGUAAGGUAACGGCUUACCAAGGCAACGAUGCGUAGCCGACCUGAGAGGGUGAUCGGCCACACUGGAACUGAGACACGGUCCAGACUCCUACGGGAGGCAGCAGUAGGGAAUCUUCCGCAAUGGGCGAAAACCUGACGGAGCAACGCCGCGUGAGUGAUGAAGGUCUUCGGAUCGUAAAACUCUGUUAUUAGGGAAGAACAAAUGUGUAAGUAACUAUGCACGUCUUGACGGUACCUAAUCAGAAAGCCACGGCUAACUACGUG
rnacentral:rRNA from 1 species